AUGAAGUGCAUCGCGGCUUCUGCCUUCCCCUCCUGGACCACUCUCUGGGGAGAACCGGCUGCCAGGUCCUGAGCAUGCUCAGAUGUCCCUGUGGGAACAGCUCAGGCCUCAACCAACAGCCAGCACCGACUGGCCAUGAAUGAGUCAAUCACCUUGGACGUGGAUCCUCAGCCCCAGUCAGGCCUUCAGAUGAGACCACAUCUCCGGUCACCACCAGCCUGCAGCCUGAGACCCCCCACCCCAUCCAUCUUGCCAAGUCUCUCCUGAAUUCUCCAUCCACAGAAACGGAGGCAACUCCGCUCAUGAGCCAUCCCAGCUGAGGGUGGAGGGAGGCACCUCACUAUCCCUGGAGUGGAUUCCAAGAGCAAUGGGAAGCCUCUGGUCAUGGAAAUACCCCAGGCUAAGUCUCGGGCGUGGAGAGACCACCUGUUUGUCAGCGCCUCUGCGGAGAGACACUCGGGGUACAGCCACAUCCGGGCUAUGAGGAAGGACGAGGCUGGAGACGUGGGCGGACAGGACGCGACAUCUCUGUGAGCGCAGCAGGGGACCCUGCGCAAGUCACGCCUGGCUGGCUGCUCCGUGCCAAGCGGAGGCUGGGAAUGGAGCCCUCCAAAGCGUGUAAAUGAGAGGCCAGGCCUGCUGGCCCUGCGCCAGCCAGCGUUGGGAGCUCAGCCGUGAUGAGGACCCCAGACCAGGGCUCUGACCCUGGGCUGGGAAGCGGGGGACACUUGUCCCUGUGCAUGCC